UACGGAGGGUGCAAGCGUUGUUCGGAAUCACUGGGCGUAAAGGGCGCGUAGGCGGCUCAUGAAGUCUGUGGUGAAAGCCCCAGGCUCAACCUGGGAGGUGCACCCGAUACUGCAUGGCUCGAGUACUGGAGAGGUUGGUGGAAUUCUCGGUGUAGAGGUGAAAUUCGUAGAUAUCGAGAGGAACACCGAUGGCGAAGGCAGCCAACUGGACAGAUACUGACGCUGAGAAACGAAAGCGUGGGGAGCAAACAGG
rnacentral:rRNA from 1 species